GACGAACGCUGGCGGCGUGCCUAAUACAUGCAAGUCGAACGAGGUGCUCCUCGGUGGCAACACCUUGGGGUUACCUAGUGGCGAACGGGUGAGUAACACGUGAGGAACCUGCCCCGAAGACCGGGAUAACCAGAGGAAACUCUGGCUAAUACCGGAUGCCCCCACCGGACCGCAUGGUCUGGUGAGGAAAUGGAUUCCGCUUCGGGAGGGCCUCGCGGCCUAUCAGCUUGUUGGUGGGGUAACGGCCUACCAAGGCGUCGACGGGUAGCUGGUCUGAGAGGACGAUCAGCCACACUGGGACUGAGACACGGCCCAGACUCCUACGGGAGGCAGCAGUGGGGAAUCUUGCGCAAUGGGCGAAAGCCUGACGCAGCGACGCCGCGUGAGGGAAGAAGGCUUUCGGGUUGUAAACCUCUUUCAGAAGGGACGAAGCCACUCGGGUUAAUAGCCCAGAGGGUGACGGUACCUUCAGAAGAAGCCCCGGCUAAC
rnacentral:rRNA from 1 species